GACGAACCGUGCGAACGUUGUUCGGAAUCACUGGGCUUAAAGGGCGCGUAGGCGGCGAUUCAAGUCCGGGGUGAAAGCCCCCAGCUCAACUGGGGAAGUGCCUUGGAUACUGAGUCGCUCGAGGGAGGUAGGGGUCGGAGGGAACUUCUGGUGGAGCGGUGAAAUGCGUUGAUAUCAGAAGGAACGCCGGUGGCGAAAGCGCUCGACUGGACCUUUUCUGACGCUGAGGCGCGAAAGCUAGGGGAGCAAACGGG
rnacentral:rRNA from 1 species